rnacentral:lncRNA from 1 species
UCGGGCUAAGGAACUACAUUAGAUCAUAUUUGUUGAGGACACAUGUCAUAGAUUUUAUUCCUUCGAGUGAUCAAAGCAUGUUGGUCUCUUGAUCCAGAUGAAACAUCACGUCAAGGAUCGGCACAGCAAGCAAAAAGCCAUCAGGCGACGCCUGUUAAUGGGGCAUGUCAGACUUGAAGCAUCACACGCAUCCUUUGAG